rnacentral:rRNA from 1 species
AUGGGAUCCAGGUGUACACGUGCACGUCCGACGUGCGGAUGGUGUCCACUUUUUGUUAAGGGGUCCAAAAUAAAGCGUCCCAGUCCAUUUCAGGUUGAGAAUAAUAAAAGAAGCCGAGAUGUAAAAGGCUUGUUUUUAGGUGUUAGGUUUGUGUUGCGUCGAGUCAUGGUUAUAAGUUGGUUAGGCUGCAGCUUGAGGACAAGCUGCAUGUCUAGGUGGGGUGUAGUGCUAGAGUACGUAAUAGGCUCAUUAGUCUUAGGGUUAAUUAGAGAUAAGGGUCGUUUGCUUAGGGGUCAAGUAAGCCUUGCUUGA